AGGAGCUCUUGGGAAGACAAGGCUCAGACUAGAGGAGGCAGCAAUCUUUCUUUUCUUUUCUAAAGAAGCAAGCAAGCAAGCAAUAUAUCAUAUUUGCAUACUUCCAUGGUGUGACCUCUAACAGAUUAUUAUCAGUGAUUUGAUUCUACAUUGCAAAGCAAAAGCCUGCAGAUAAGUGUCGCAAGAAGAUCCAACAGCAGGCAGGAAAGCAGUUACAUCCAUGGUGGCAAGGGGGAGGUCAGAUUUUGCACAUCCCCAAGAGGAAAGAAAUGACAAAAUCAACAAAUGUUCAGUAACAGGCCUAAAUUCUCAAGGUCUCGCCUUGGACAUGCUGACAGAUCAGAGCACAGCUAAUGAGGCACUGCUAAGGAAAAAGAUGGAAACUGAUCUUGGAAGUAAAUUUUAUUAUUGAUGCCUUUGAAUAUCUCUUCCUUAAUGCAGUAGUUCCAGCUAUUGUUACAGCCUGUGGGGGUACCCUUGCAUGGCUAGGUACUUGGUGCAAGCAGCUGGGCUACCUGAUAGCUGAACAUGUUGUGAGGAUCAAGUGGACUUCUGCUGACUGUUCUUCUUCUUGUG